rnacentral:rRNA from 1 species
UACAGAGGGGGCAAGCGUUGUUCGGAAUUACUGGGCGUAAAGCGUGCGCAGGCGGUUUCUUAAGUCAGAUGUGAAAGCCCCGGGCUUAACCUGGGAACUGCGUUUGAAACUGGGAGACUUGAGUGUGGCAGAGGGGGGUGGAAUUCCACGUGUAGCAGUGAAAUGCGUAGAUAUGUGGAGGAACACCGAUGGCGAAGGCAGCCCCCUGGGUUAACACUGACGCUCAUGCACGAAAGCGUGGGGAGCAAACAGG